rnacentral:lncRNA from 1 species
UCCUCCUCAUUGCCAUGAUUUCACGUCACAAUUUACCUGCACUACAAACACAAUGAGAUGCGUGAAUAUUAUCACAAAUACUCAGUGAAGCGAUCCUCCUAUUUAUUGGGCUAUACACACAAGCAUAUUAAACCAAUCUAAAAUGCAUUAGAUUAACCAAAAAAAAAAAAAACCACGCUUAAAAAGACAUGAACUGCUCGCUGUCCAAAAAAGCUGUCCACAAAAUCGGUGUCGAGCGACACCGAUUCCGCAAAAAUUCUGAAAUCGCCUCUCAAGUCUCCAGAGGAGGAAUCCAUCACCUCCAAAGCUCCAGCCAUGAGUACUUACACUCAAACAUGCAAUAACAACAACCAAAACACACAAAC